GUGGUUUGGGUUUAUGUGACAUGAUAUGCUAGCUUGAAAAAUGGCUGUCUGAUUUUUUCUGGCUGGGCACUCUGCUGACAUAAUCUAAUGUUUUGCUUUCGUUGUAAAGCCUUUUUGAAAUCGGACAGUGGGGUUAGAUUAACGAGAUUCUUGUCUUUAAAUAGCUGUAAAAUAGUCAUAUGUUUGAGAAAUUGAAGUAAUAGUAUUUCUAACGAUUCAAAAAUCGCGCCACUGGAAUAUCAGUAGCUGUUACGUAGGUGGGACGAAAUCGUCCCACAUACCCCAGACAGGUUAAAGGACAAUAUAUAGGUCUGCUGCUUUAAGGACAAAAUGUAGGUCUGCUGUUUUAAUAAAGACAAUAUGUAGGUCUGCUGUUUUAAUAAAGACAAUAUGUAGGUCUGCUGCUUUAAGGACAAUAUGUAGAUCUGAUGCUUUAAGGACAAUAUGUAGGUCUGCUGCUUUAAGGACAAUAUGUAGGUCUGCUGCUUUAAGGACAAUAUGUAGAUCUGCUGCUUUAAGGACAAUAUGUAGGUCUGCUGCUUUAAGGACAAUAUGUAGGUCUGCUGUUUUAAUAAAGACAAUAUGUAGAUCUGCUGCUUUAAGGACAAUAUGUAGGUCUGCUGCUUUAAGGACAAUAUGUAGAUCUGCUGUUUUAAUAAAGACAAUAUGUAGAUCUGCUGUUUUAAUAAGGACAAUAUGUAGAUCUGAUGCUAUAAGGAAAAUAUGUAGGUCUGCUGUUUUAAUAAGGACAAUAUGUAGGUCUGCUGCUAUAAGGACAAUAUGUAGGUCUGCUGUUUUAAUAAGGACAAUAUGUAGGUCUGCUGUUUUAAUAAGGACAAUAUGUAGGUCUGCUGUUUUAAUAAGGACAAUAUGUAGGUCUGCUGUUUUAAUAAAGACCAAUAUGUAGGUCUGCUGCUUUAAAGACAAUAUGUAGGUCUGCUGCUUUAAGGACAAUAUGUAGGUCUGCUGCUUUAAGGACAAUAUGUAGAUCUGCUGUUUUAAUAAAGACAAUAUGUAGAUCUGCUGUUUUAAUAAGGACAAUAUGUAGAUCUGAUGCUUUAAGGACAAUAUGUAGGUCUGCUGUUUUAAUAAGGACAAUAUGUAGGUCUGCUGCUUUAAGGACAAUAUGUAGGUCUGCUGUUUUAAUAAGGACAAUAUGUAGGUCUGCUGCUUUAAAGACAAUAUGUAGGUCUGCUGCUUUAAGGACAAUAUGUAGGUCUGCUGCUUUAAGGACAAUAUGUAGAUCUGCUGUUUUAAUAAA
rnacentral:lncRNA from 1 species